rnacentral:lncRNA from 1 species
GUAAGUGUGUCCAGCUGGGGGUAAUUUUCUAUCUUUGCUGAGUUAUAACUAUGGGUCAGUCUCUGUCCACAGAACAGCGUAACUUUGCCAAAUUACUUAAGUUGCUGUUAAAGCAAGCUGUGUACCCAGUACCUAAGGGUGCUGUGAAGAUUUGUUAAAAGACAUGCAAAUGUAUGUCCCAUCUUUUCCCCAGGAAGGGACAGCUUAACUUAAUAUCAUGAGAACGUGUAGGUACCGCUCUCUGUGAGGCCUGGCAAAGGGGUAAUUGCCUCUCCCCUGACCGCUCCCCACUUGGGCCUUAGUCCACUGAGGUCAGAGUUGCUAGCCAUUAUAUUUGUGAUUGAAAACUUCCCUCCCCAACCUCUUAAUAUUUUAAAUGAUUCCUCUUAUACAGUUUGGUUGACUCAAAGACUAAGGAGCAAUGGUCUACUCUACCUUAGAACCUAAAUUAUUAAACUUGUUUUUAAGAUUACAAAAGGCCAUAUGUCAAAAAAUUCCUCCUGCCUUAAUAACGUGGGGGAGAGGUUUCGCCUGUGCCCUAACAGAUAAUGAAAAAAAUCUUGUGGCUGCCCUCCUGGAAUGUGAGACCGUGGGUCACGCUGGUGGAACCGCCAACAUCUCACAGAAUCAAUGAUAGCACCCUGGCUGAAAGCGAUGAGCCAGCUGCACCUCAGGGACCCACCUCACCAGCGACAACCAACAAAUCCAUGGCAGGGUCCAGGACUGAGAUGAUGCCCCCAGAGGAAUGAUAAUUAUAGAUUUAUGGUAAAAAAUUUAUAAAGGUGGGGGACAACUUCAAAAUGCUCCUUUUAUAUUUACAGGUAUAAAAGCGCUUUCAUUCCUUCUGAUUAUAAUCUCGAGAUCUCUGUUAAUUGACUAUUCCAAAGUUUUUGACCAGUCAUACAAUUAUAAAUCUAAUAAUCAUAAAAAGGAUAUUACGAUUCAAUUUGGCUAAAUAUAUUUGCUUGCACUCUGAUUUUGUAAAUUGUCUUAUAUGUUUGUCUGUUGUCUGUUUGUCUGUUUGUACAGUUGAGCUCAAUUUUUUUUUUCUCUUUUUCUUUUCACCUUUUGAAAAAAAAAAUUUUUUUAAAGAUAUUCACCUAUUGUUAAAUUCGCUUACAGGUAAAUGUUACUAAAUUAAAGGCAUGCCUUCCUUCCCAGGUUGCUAACUGAUCAAAGUGCCACUGAGAUUUAUUUUAUAAAAGUAAUGUAUAUUGUCACCUACAUGCAAUAAUCAAAUUGCAAUAAGCAGUUGUAAAAUAGGAAGAUAUAUAUAUUCUUAUUCUUUGUUUGUCAAAAUAGAGACUGUGGGUACUCUCUUUGGUGAAUAAACAAGUGGCCACCCAGAAAAUAAUUAUUCUGGUCUUAAUUCACUAAAGGGACCCCCUAGUAAUUUUUAUAAUCUUAUGGGAGACACACCACAACAAAUAUUGUCUCAAUGUGUUAUUAUAAAUUGAUUACAUUGGUUAUCAUUGAAGUUUAAAUUCUAAAUAUGUUAUAAAUUGAUUACAUUGGUUAUCAUUGAUGUUUAAGCGCUAAAAAUGUGAUUGUAAAAUGUUUACAUUGGUUAUGUUCUGAAUAUGUUAUUGUAAUAUGUCCACAUUGGUCAUCUUCAAAAGCUUAAUUUCUGUGUCAUAAACAAGAGUGUUAUUAGAAAGAUGGUUUUGGUACCAAACCACAGUGAAGAAAAUAAGGUUUUAUGUAACUAUGAUAUUUAUUACUGCUCCUUUUCUGGUGUACAAAAUGUAUUCAUGCCCUCUAAUUGUAUGGGUCUUCUAACAUUGUUUAUGGUAAUAACCUUUUGAUUCAGGUAUUUGCCCUUUUCUUAUGCUCCAGCCACCUAUGAAAAUAGGCACACUUGUAGGUUGAUAUAUUUUCCUUAGAUGAUGUCCUAUAAAAAGAUAGCUACUCAGGGAUCCAACCACAACAGCAACUGUCAUUGGCAAUAAUAACAGUUUAACUAUAUUUUUAUUCCAAAAUGCUUAUCUCCAGGUAAAAUUAUAACAGUUGAGUUCACUACUCCUCUUACAAUGCUAAUGUUAUUGAUCUUCUCUUCUGGGUGUUCAACAACCAAAGUUUAGAGACCAAAACUGAAGAGGUAUUUGGGCUAAGAAGGCAGCCAAUAUUUUGGCCCUGGCCCUCCAAGGUCAACAACAAUAACAAAAAUAUCCAGGAUAUGAGGGAACCAUCUCUGAGAUCCUGCAUUUUUGGUGAGUCAUCCAACCUCCUGAGCAGGGAGGUUGCUGAACACCAAAACAGUAAAGAUCCAACAAAAAGUGUGCCAAAGGAAUGUCACCUGGAGGAAAAAAUCUCCCAUGCUUUCGCAGGAAGCAACAUGGUCAAGCAAGGCCGUGACAUAUCCUGAUGGGUGACACUGACAGAGGAGCUAAGAGGCUCUAUGCGUGGUUCCAAGACAGUGCCUGUGGAGACUUAAUUGACCUUGUUAGAUAACAAGAGAUUGAUUUUAUUUAAUAUAGGUUUCACCGUAACUUGAUCUUAAACACCCAGUAGAAAAGUAUAACUAAAGACAAUAGUUAUUUGAGUUCAACGAAAGUUUUAAGUUUUUAAACCCAAUGUUUAAAAACAAAUUGUUAGAUUUUUUAAUCCUUUUUCAGCCCCAAUUAAGAAAAAUUAUGCUUAUUAUAGACAGCUGAGCCAGUCAAACUAUAAAUCCUCACACUACAUAGGGACAAGCCAUUGUUGGGUGUGCUUGCUUUUCAAUAAAACUCCUUCACAUAAAACAAAAAGAAAGGGAGAUAUGUUGGGAGCAAUGCUACAUAAUUCUAGGGAUAAAUCAUUUGGUUAGCCUAGUUCUCUUGCCUACAGCCCAGCUACAGAAUAAUUCCAGUUUGGCCUCUGGUCACAACUGAGACUUCAGUGAUCCAGUGAUGCUGUGAUUCUCCAGGACAAGAAACAUCCUGGGAGAACAAACAUCUGCUCAGUUCCUUAUUGUUCUUGGACUGAUUAACAUCUUGUUUACCGGAGAUGUACUGAACUCUCUGCAAGCCUUCCGUUACACCUUGUUUAUCCCAAUGUGAACUAUUGAACUCUCUGCAAGUCAUUUGUUACAUUUGUUUCUCCGGAUGUACUGAAUAAAAGGUGUGGUAAGCUGGGGGCUUUGUCUUUGCUGCCCAGAGCAGCACUCAUCAGAACCAAAGCUCAGCUUCUUCUCGGUCUCAUUUUUCUACCUUUCCUGUAAUUCGCUGUGUGCUGCCGUGGCUCGCAGGAGACCAGGACUAACUGCAGAGGUUCUGAUCCAACAGCUAUCAAUCAAACAGCUAGCAUCUCACUGACAUUUUGUUGAUCUCGGGCAAUGACAGCUGCCACUGUCUUGGACACCUUCACUUGUUUGGACCAAUCACAGUUUUUCAUCUUGUUUGCUGAAGGCAGAGGUAUUCUCAUAAUCUGAAGAUCUUCUUUAAAGAAACCUGCAUAAAUCUCUCCUAUGGUACAAUAAGGAUGGAAGAAAUGACUUUUCUUUAGAAAAGAAGCUUCCAUAGAGUCUUGUAUCCUGUACAACCUUGAAGAUAUGGAGGUUUCACUUUAAUCACAAAAUAAGGAAAAAGGAGCCCUACUAUAGCUGAGGAACAGCCUGUGAUUUAUGAAGGCACUAGGAGAAUAUUGGCUCUUCUGAAAUACACUUCCUCCAAUGAACUGCUUGUACCGUUGAUCCCAUUGUGAUACCUGCUUAGAACAAGCAACCACCACAAUUGUGUAUAUCUUCAACAAAAUGCUGAAAAGAAACACUUUCUUGUCUUUCAAUUGAAUAUUUUUAUUUCAUAUAAUGCUAGUAGAGAACAAAUAAACCUAUACUAUUGAUUUAUUUAUCAUGAAAUAUUUCAUUAUAUACAUUGUGAUGUGUUAUGUGUUUUUUUCUUUAAUUAGAAAACUAAUAUUAUUACUUCUUAAGUUUAGAAAUACUACCUUAGAAAUUUAUGCUUCAAGAUUCUGGAUUUAUGUACAAAAUACCCUAAAAAGGAACUAUAUUCCUGAGAUGUUCACAAACAAUGCAUUAAAUAAAUCAGAAUGAAUAUUUGAGUUUAUUCUUCGAGGGGGCAAAAUAAAAUAAAUAUUUCAAUCUUACAUGACUUGGAAAUAAAUGACUAAAGAAGUGUGGCUUUCUGGGAGGAGUGUAUAGGUACAUUUACCCUUCCAUUCAUCAGAUAUGAUUUCUUUUUUUUUAAAUUAGUUUUAUUGGUACAUUUUAGGUAUAUAAUAUAAUGACAUUCAUCAUUGGAAAUUUGCACCUCUACAUAAUCUCUUGAUUCUUACUUUUUCCCCAUUCCCCUGCCCUUCUUUCAACCCCUCCACCCCUCCCUAUUUACAAAGACUUUCCAUUUUUUCAUUUUCUCAUAUUAAUUUCAUUCCCUUCUUUCCUUUUCCCUGCCCCUCCCACUUCCCAUUCCCCUUUGCACCUUUUCUUCCUAUUUCACAUUAUCUAUUAUACCUUUUAGUCUUUAUUUAUGCCUUCAGUUUCUCACACUAGAAAAACUAUUCAGUAUUUACACGUGUGUGUCCUAUUCAUUUCACUUAGGACUACCACCUCAAUGUGCAUCCAUUUAGCAAUAAAUGUCUCUAAUUUCCAUUUUUUAUGGCUGAGUAGUACUCCAUUUAUAAAAAACCCCACAUUUUUUAUGUGCAUCCAUCUUCAUAGCAGCACAAUUUGUAAUAGCUAAAACUUGGAAGCAGCCCAAUUACCAAUCAACUGGAGACUGGAUAAAGAAGAUCAGAUAUGAUUUCUGUUAGCUCACUCAAUGCAUCCUAGACACUACACCCUAGACUUAAUGGAUGAGUCUCUCUUUACUUUACUACCAAUUCCUAAUUUUUCAUUGAAUUAUUAAUGGGUCUAGUGGUUGUGAACCUUUUUUAUUGGUUUUGUUUGUCUUUGGUUUACGAGGUUGGAGUGGAGCAGGAGGAGCAAUGAAUAGUAGAAUAUAUAAGGGCAAUAUUGUGUUGAAGUGAUUCAUAAGCCCUCUUUCAUCAAAUGCUAUUGGAAUUGAAUAAUGAAGGCUUGUGAGCUAGAAAAAUGUAAAAUGAAAAUUUUAUUUUCAUAGUGUAUGAAAACAAGGUUGUACAAAAUAUUCUUAUAAUGAAAAAUUUAAGGAUGUGAUAAAUGCCCGACAUAAAGUGGAAAAGACUAUUAUAAUUUCAAAGUACUCUGAUCAUCUAUGUUAAAGAAGCUUUCUUGGAAAGACAUGAGCAUCUUGUUGGAGUAGUAUCAUAACAAGGUAAUACCCUCAGUACAUGAGGUAAAAGGACCCAAGUUACCCAAGUUAUUUAGAUGAAUGCAUCAAGAGUUAUCAUGGUUGGAGUGUCUCUGAGGAGUAAGGAAGAACAAUUGUCUACUCUGAUGUUUUCUUUUUCUCAUUGUGUAAGAAUAAAGAAGAAGCUGGAAAGAUUGCUGGUGAAUCAAUAUAUUCGUGGAGAAAUGAGUCUAGUUAAAACAAGAAACUUAAGAAAAUGUUCACAAAUGACGCCUUGGAGAACUUUGCUCAUAAAUGACUGUGAGUCCAGGGAGGAUACUGGAAGGCAGACUACUGUGACAAAGUAUGUUAGGCAAUAAGGGUGACCUGAAAAUCUUACAGUUAUGAUUUGACAAACAGAAUUAAAUAGCAGAGCUGAGAUGAGGCCCACUAAUCUCUAGGUAGAUAGUGAAGCUGAGACUACACUUAGUGUUGUUGGAAGAACGUUGAAAUGGUGAGAUCUCUCCAGACAGUAUGAUUCUCAGACUUUCUUAUGUCCUACUCAUGACACUGUGGAAGUUGCAGAGAGGAACUUCAUCCAGAGAGCAUAAGGACUUCCGUGACUGCCUCUUCAAUUCUGCUAUCGGAGGCAGUCUAGGGGAGGUGUGGUCUUAUCCACGUAUCUGUUCCUCCUUCACUCACUGAAACACAUUUAUAAAACUGGGCCUGGGAUUUAGCUCAGUGGUUCUGCUGCCUGCCUCGCAAGGACAAGGUCCCAAGCUCGAUCCCUGGUACCAAAAACAAAACAAAACAAAACAAAAAAACUACCCUAACAAUUUCAAGAAAACAACCUUAUGUUAAUUUUCAACACAGUCCAAUCUUUCAUGGUACUGGCAGCAAAAUAUUUGUUUUAGCUAAGGAAAAAUUAAUAAGUCUUUCUGGCAGCAGGAGUAUAUUAUUUAGGGUACUCUAGGGAAACAGAGUCAAUUGAAUAUAUAUGUGUGAUUAUGCACUGGAAUUCAUUAACUAGGCUUACAGGAUCAGAAAUGAGAGAGCCCACAAUGGCAUUUGUGGGACCAGACGCAAGAGAGUCCGCAAUAGUCACUUGAACAUUACAGACCCAGAAGAUACAGGAGAUGCUUGGCCAAGAAGGUGGAGGCCACAGGACAGGAGGAUGCAAGGAUACAGCACUUGUCCAAGUUUGAAGGCCUAGAAGCUCCCUGGAUAGUUACCAAUAUGAGUCUGUGUUAGAAAGCUAAAGAAACUGCAGAUCUGGAUACUGAUGUCCAGUGGCAACAGCAGCAGAGUAUACACACAAUUAGGAAGACGGAAGUUCUUCAAACUGUGGACAGUUCCUUGUUUUCUCCUCUUUUUAUUCCAUCCUGGCUACAACCCCAUUUGUUAGUGCCACCUACAUCAGGAAUGAGUCUUCCUCCCUGGGUUGACUGGUUUAUAUAUCAGUCACCCAUUCACAGUUCUGUUAGAUAAUGUGUAGGAUUUCUGACCCCAGAGAAUGCAAGAUGUACUUAGGUAUAAUAAAAUGGAGCAGUUGACCGUUCCAAGGAAUAAUACGUGUAAUUCUAUUGUUUCAAAAACACAUCAUCUAUUGAAGAAUGAGUGAGAGAAGCUCACUACGAUGAUUAUAAUAAAAAUAUAAUGGUACUUCUUUUUAAAAGGACAGUAUAAGGUAAUUUACCAUGUAUACAUCACCUGUGACCCCAACGUUUUAAAUUUUAUGCUCUGUUCAAUGGCAGUAGCAGGGAGUCUGGAGGGAGAAUUCUCUCACAGAUUUACAAACUACCAAAAUGUUUAAACUUAACUAAAUAAAAGACUAUUUGCUAGCCUAGAGUUGUUUUAAGACAAAUUCUUUAGUACCACCUCAACUCUUCAGCAGAGUGUAAUAUUUAAAUGUAAUUUUAUGAGGUCUGGUGUGCCCACAAUAUGUGAAAACAAUGAUUAGUUUUUAUAGAGUUCCUGCAACAUUGCAUUUAAUGAAAGCAAUGAUGGUGAGCUCCUAUUUACCUUUGUACAAGGUUUCUUAAUUUAGCACUGUACCUGAAUAUGUGUGGUAGAGUGCAAGUUUUGCUUCUAUAGUGUCUUAAAAUAUAUUUUAAAUAUGGCCCACCUAAAUGGGCCAUUUUAAAUAUGGGCCAUUUUAAAUAUGGCCCAAGUAAAUGAAAAUAGAAAAAACAAGUGAUCACCUUCAGUACCAUCAGAAAAAAAGUCAAAUGUUACUUAAACAAACAGUGAGAAAUGUGAAAUAGAUAAAUUCUGCUGUAAUACACAGUUUCUUAUGAUGGCUUUUUAGAUCCAAUAUCUCUUGGAGAUCUAAAGUCAGUUUUCAGUUGCAGUUUAAAAGACUGUAAAAAUAGAGGAUUUAUGAUUAUAUCAUAAAGGAUAUCCUAGAGUAUUUAAUAUGAAAUAUUUAAUAUGAAAAUUCUCCAGCUCUCAGGAGCAGCAAUUUUCAGCUCUAUGUUCCAAGUGGAACAUGUUGUCAUCUCCUGAAGCAUUGUUUAUUAUGGUGCUGAGUGUUGGUGUCCUUGGAAUCAGUGUGGAAGUGUGAAAAGAAGUAAAUCUGUUAUCAAGGACAGCUGGAUUUCUUGGGUCAAGGUUUAAAGAUCAGAGCUUUCUACUCUUUUUAAAUAUUUCAUGACUGAUUUCUAGUUUUAGGCAUUCAAAAUAACUCCAAAUGAUGUCAUCAUUUUCUCAGUAGAUUGAGGCUAUCACUAGAAGUUACUGCAACAGAAACAGUCCCUCAUGAUUGGCAAGUUGGUAAGAAUUAGAGGAGACUAUUCAUGCCAGCAAACACAGGACAAUCAUAAGUUUUUGAAAUUAGACAGAUGAAGUUUGUAAUCUGUUGUUGCAAUAUACCACUUGUGUAAGUGAAUUUUAACCCUACCUAUGACAAUUGGGAGAUGAUACCUGUGAAAUAAGUGGCAUGAAUUUUGUAAUGAAAUAAUUUGUUGAUUGUGCAAUUGUGUGAUACGGUUUACAUGUAGAUGGCCCCCUAAAGUCUCACGAGAUCAUAGGUGGGACCUUUGUUUUCCAGGGUUUUUUUUUGUUUUUUCUUGGUUGGGGGUACUGGGGAUCGAACUCAGGUCCUUGUGCUUGCACAGCAGUUGGAGAAACCACUGAGCUAAAUCCCCGGCCCCAUAGGCGGGACAUUUGGAAAGUGAUUGAAUUACAGUUGAGUUGCUGCUUGUAGGUAGAACCUGGUUGGGAGAGGUGGGUCACCAUAAGCAUGACAAAGAAUGUUAUAUCUCCCUUCCAAGCUCUUCAUUUUGUUUUCUGCUUCAUGUCUGCCAUGAGGUAAGUAGCUCUCCUCUGCCAUGUGCCUGUGUCAUGUCAUUCUGUCUUGGAACCAGCCACUAUGAACUGAAGCACAAGCCAAAAUAAACCUUUGCUCCUAUAAGUUUUGGGUAUUAAGUAUUGUAUCUCAGCCAUAAAGAGGGAAGUAACUAAGAUUUUGAUACCAAAGAAGUAGGAUCAUUGCUGUGACACUACUUGUCCUGUGGUUCAGAAACAUUUGGAGGUUGUUUGAGGGAGGAGUUUGGAAAUAUUUGAAGAUACCAUCUGGAGAACCAGACUGAAAAUGCUGCAAACUGAUCAUGAUAGGAGAUUCUGGUCAGAUUUCAGAAGAUCAUAAUGCUGAUAGAAGUCGGUAUAGUAAAGAUGAGGUUCAGGAGGUUUCAGUUGGGAACAAGGACUAUAUUGGCAGUAGUACUCCAGACCAUGUGUGUUACACUUUGGCAGAAAAUUUGUCUACAUUUUACUCAGAGUAAGGGCAGUAGAGUAAUCUGGUGGAGAAAAUUUCAAAGCAGCCUAAUAUUAGGGCUGUGAUAUGUAUACUAUUAGGUGACUUUAGCCAGUCCUAGUUGGAAAACCAGGAGCAAAAAGCCCACUUUUAAAGUUUUCAGUUUUUCCAGAAAAAAAACACCUACAAAGUUGUAGCAGAGGAAAGCAUUGUUGCUGAAAUAAUUAGCAGUGAAUAGAAGCCAAGUAUUUUGAAUCAUGAUAGGAAAAAUACUUUGAGGGCACGUGAAGAAUCAGCAAGGGCCCAACCUUCCCAAUUACAAAAUUGCAAAAGUUAAAAACUUUGCUUUAAAAAGGGGGUCCAAGGUUGCAUGCUUCAGAAGGGCAGCUGGGUAGGGAAUUUGUUCCUCAGGAUUUGACUCAUAGUGUUCAGCCAUCCAGGUAUUCACAGGUCCCUGCUACCAUGAUAUAAGGGAUCCUGGCUACUGCUCAAGCUGAUGCAGACCUUGGCAUAAUCCACACGAUUCUGGUUAUACAGGAAUGCAGAGUGCAAAUCUUCUGCGUUUGAGGAGGCAUUGAGCCAGAUUUCAGAAGGCCUAGAAGGCCAGGCAGUGUGCCCCUGAGAAGGCAGUGCUUGAAGCUGGUGAGAGUGAAACUGAGUGUGCAAUAAAGACCCCAGAGAGUUGGAGGAACCAGAAACAUGGAACAUCUGAGGAAAGCCACUGCAUGAAGCAAAGACACCCCAAGAGAAAAGCUAUUAGAGCUUUAACCACCAAGGAUACUGCAGGGGUAGGGCCGUCCAAGCUAUUUGAAGUUCACAUCUCAGCAUAGUUUUCUCUGGGUUCUAGAUAUGGAGCUACAGGAUUUAAUGUUCUCCCUGUUGAUUUUCAGUCUUGCUUUGGUUCCGUUGAUUUCUAUUCCCACAUUUCUCCUUUUUGGAAUGAGAAUGUGUACCUUAUGCAUUGUAUGCCAGCAGUGUUUAACUUCUUUUGGGUAUUUACUGUGGCUUACAGCUAAGAGUUUCCCUUCAGUCUCAGAGGAUACCUUGGACUUGGCCUUUUCAGCAAUGCUGGGAUGGUUAGGAAUUUGGCAACUGUUAGAAACAGACUAAAGGAAAUUUGCAUAAAUAUAUAUGCAUGAAUCUUUGGGGAUUAGGGAUGGAAUUUUAUGAUUUAUGUCUAGAAGUCCCAUAAUAUUGUAGGUGGACUUUAAGGAAGGUGAUUAGACUAUAGGGGUAUUAUAGGUGAAGUGUAUUAGGAGGUGGGGCUUGGUUAGAAAAGACAAAUCACUGUAGAUAUGACCUGGAAGGCGAUAUCUCCCUUCCAAGCUCUUCUCACAGUUCUGUGCUUCCUAGAUGCCAUGAGAUAAGCAGCUUGGCUCCUCCUAGCCCCUUCAACUAUGCUGUUAUGACAUCAAGACAGCUGAGUAUGUACUGCAACCUUUACAAAUGGUGAGCCAAAGUAAACCUUUGGUCAUUUACUUUGUGGGUGUGAGGUAUUGUCUCUAAGCCAUAAGAAAAGUGACUACGGCAUGUACCACCCUUAAAACAGGCAGGCAUACAGUAAAGGGGAAAAAAAACCCUCACUUAUUCAGUGAAAGAAGAAUCUGUGGGAAAAAAACAAGAGUGAAUAUAUUUUAUGAUACUAAUUAAUGUUGGUUAUGAAAUAAUGAUCAAUAUCAUUAACAUAAAAACAUUAAAUCUAAAGAAUGUUCAUAGUAUACAUAAUUAAAACAGUGUCACUGGGUUUGGCAAUCUAUAAGUCAUUGAUAAAUUUGGAAUGACCAUAUUACUAUAUGAAUGAAAUACAGACAUUUGGAUGUGUAAAUUAAAAUAGAAUUUAAAUUUUACUUUAAGAGGGAUGAUCAGUGGAGUUAUGCAGAAAUGUUUCUUGUUCUUUUGAUGAGACCUAAGUAUACGUACAGACAGAUUACAAGGAGCAAAUUGAUGAAUUAAAAAUACUGAUGAAAUCAGACAUCAUAAUUACAGUAAAGGCCCAUAGAAUGUGAUAGAAGAGUAGCAGUGGAGGAGCAUGGAAGGCACUUGCACUUGAAUAGAUCAAAGAAAUACAAUGUUGUUGAGAUGUAGAAUAGGUCAUUCAUACAAAAGAGAGCAAAUGAUUGUGAUAGUGGCAGGAUCAUGAAACAAGAAUUUACUAGCCAUGUACUAAUCAUUUCCCUGAUGAAAGGAAAGCAGAUUUUAUUUAUCUGUGAGACUGAUAAAUAAAAAAAAUAUAUCAGAUGGGAAACAAGGAUCUUGUUCUGAGUAGGGACAUGCAAUGGUCUAAAGGCAGUAUCUUUAUGUGACUUUAGAUGUAAGAGGAUGAACAAGUUGCACUGCAGAUCUGCCAUGGUGAGUUAACUUUAAAAAGAGACAGAAUAAGGUCAUGAUGUGAGAUUGGAGGUAGGCAAAGACCUGGUGAAUAUACAUAACGAUUAAAAGGGGUUUAUUAGUAACAAAUCAUACUUUCCACAAGGAAACGGGGACUGAUGCGAAGGUGGGGAUAGUAGACAGUGAAUUAGAAACAUAAAAAUAUGAGGAGAGAGAGAGAGAGGCAGAGAGAAUGAAAGAACAGAAAUUCCCAUUUGGGCUAUAUUUGGAUAUUGACCAAAGUUAUACAAAGUUAUAAAGGAUGCAAUAAUUUUCCACUGAAUAAAACCAAAAAUAUGCUUCAUCAAAAGCACAGGCUGAGACUUCAGGAAAAAAGCCCUUACAGAGG